rnacentral:rRNA from 1 species
UCCCUAUGGGGUGCAGCAGGCGCGAAAACUUUACAAUGCGGGAAACCGCGAUAAGGGGAUACUGAGUGCCAGCAUCUUAUGUUGGCUGUCCACCUGUAUAAACAGCAGGUGUUAGCAAGGGCCGGGCAAGACCGGUGCCAGCCGCCGCGGUAACACCGGCGGCCCGAGUGGUGACCACUAUUAUUGGGUCUAAAGGGUCCGUAGCCGGUUUGAUCAGUCUUCCGGGAAAUCUGACAGCUCAACUGUUAGGCUUCCGGGGGAUACUGUCAGACUUGGGACCGGGAGAGGUAAGAGGUACUACAGGGGUAGGAGUGAAAUCUUGUAAUCCUUGUGGGACCACCAGUAGCGAAGGCGUCUUACCAGAACGGGUCCGACGGUGAGGGACGAAAGCUGGGGGCACGAACCGGAUUAGAUACCCGGGUAGUCCCAGCUGUAAACGAUGCUCGCUAGGUGUCUGGGACGGUGCGACCGUUUCAGGUGCCGCAGGGAAGCCGUGAAGCGAGCCACCUGGGAAGUACGGCCGCAAGGCUGAAACUUAAAGGAAUUGGCGGGGGAGCACUGCAACGGGUGGAGCCUGCGGUUUAAUUGGAUUCAACGCCGGAA